rnacentral:rRNA from 1 species
UACAGAGGGUGCGAGCGUUAAUCGGAAUUACUGGGCGUAAAGGGUGCGUAGGUGGUUGAAUAAGUUAGGUGUGAAAGUCCUGGGCUUAACCUGGGGAUUGCGCUUAAGACUGUUUGGCUAGAGUACUGUAGAGGGAAGUGGAAUUCCUGGUGUAGCGGUGAAAUGCGCAGAUAUCAGGAGGAACACCAAUUGCGAAGGCAGCUCGCUGGGACGUUACUGACGCUGAGACGCGAAAGCGUGGGGAGCAAACAGG